rnacentral:ncRNA from 1 species
AGGUUCUGAAAAGAUUAAAAGGGAAUCCUGUGAAAAUCAGGAGCUAUUCCCGUAGCUGUCAGUCCUUUACAACUUUCCGGCACCUAAGUCACUGACAAGUUUCCGUUGUUGGGAAGACGCCGGGAAGCAGGACAAGCCAGAAGACCUGCCUGAAUC